GAUGAACGCUGGCGGCGUGCCUAAUACAUGCAAGUCGAGCGAACUUUUGGGAGCUUGCUCCCUAAAGUUAGCGGCGGACGGGUGAGUAACACGUGGGGAACCUGCCUGUAAGACUGGGAUAACUUCUGGAAACCGGAGCUAAUACCGGAUAACAUUGAAGACAACAUGGCCUUCAAUAAAAAGGUGGGUUUUAGCUAUCACUUAUAGAUGGACCCGCGGCGCAUUAGCUAGUUGGUGAGGUAACGGCUCACCAAGGCGACGAUGCGUAGCCGACCUGAGAGGGGAUCCGGCACCACGGGAAUGAGACACCGGCCAAGCUUCCAAGGGGAGGAGCAGGAGGGGAACCUCCGGCAAGGGCGGAAGGCUGAACGGGGAACGCCGGGGGGGGGGAGAAGGGCCUCGGGUCGGAAGGAUCCGUUGUUAGGGAAGGAAAAGAAGCGUUCGAAUAGGGCGGUAUCUUGACGGUACCUAAUCAGAAAGCCACGGCUAACUACGUG
rnacentral:rRNA from 1 species